GACGAACGCUGGCGGCGUGCUUAACACAUGCAAGUCGAACGGAAAGGCCCUGCUUUUGUGGUGUGCUCGAGUGGCGAACGGGUGAGUAACACGUGAGUAACCUGCCCUUGACUUUGGGAUAACUUCAGGAAACUGGGGCUAAUACCGGAUAGGAGCUCCUGCUGCAUGGUGGGGGUUGGAAAGUUUCGGCGGUUGGGGAUGGACUCGCGGCUUAUCAGCUUGUUGGUGGGGUAGUGGCUUACCAAGGCUUUGACGGGUAGCCGGCCUGAGAGGGUGACCGGACACAUUGGGACUGAGAUACGGCCCAGACUCCUACGGGAGGGAGCAGUGGGGAAUAUUGCACAAUGGGCGGAAGCCUGAUGCAGCAACGCCGCGUGCGGGAUGACGGCCUUCGGGUUGUAAACCGCUUUCGCCUGUGACGAAGCGUGAGUGACGGUAAUGGGUAAAGAAGCACCGGCUAACUACGUG
rnacentral:rRNA from 1 species